rnacentral:rRNA from 1 species
GAAAAGAAAGCAAAAGCGAUUCCCAAAGUAACGGCGAGUGAACAGGGAUAAGCCUAGCGCUAAGGAUCAAUGUGAUUUUGAUUGACAAUUGGGGCAACUUGGUUGUUAGUCAGAGUCAACAUAUAGCAUUGAUCGGUGCAGCGUUACAAACUUUAGUGUUUAGUAGUAUCAAUGAUAUAUUGAUAGCAAUACUGAUAUGUCUCCUUUAGCCUAGGAUGCAAGUCCCAUUGACUUGGGCUUAUCUUCCAAUUGAGAUGACUAUAAUGUUGGGGAAACUUGAUAUUAUGGUUGAGCCAUAGAGGGUGAAAGUCCCUUAACGUCCAGGUAUUGAUACUACGAACUAGAGAGCCAGCAAUGGCAUUUUGUUAGAGUCGGGUUGCUUGAGAGUGCAACCUAAAGAGCGAGGUAAACUGCUCGUAAGGCUAUUAGAGAAAUAUCGCUACGACACCGAUAGCAAACAAGUACCGUGAGGGAAAGUUGCAAAGUACUUUGAAGAGAGAGUUAAACAGGGCGUGAAACCGCUAGCUGGUAAACGAGUGGAGCCACGAAGUCGUUUCGUAGAAUAAAGAAUACAAAUUCAAUUGAGGUUGUCGCAAGAUGGCUUCAGUGUACUUUUGUUUAUUCUUCUAUGUAGGCGUACACUGCAACCAAUUAGACGAUCAAUUGUGGAAAUAAUUGAUUAGUAUUAGGAGAAAUCCUGAUAUUUCAAUCAAUAAAAUGCUUAUAUACUAGCUGUAGGUAGCUUAAUUUGAUCCUUGUGAUCCUAUUGAGUGUAUGACAUUUUUGUUAGUAUGAGAACUACAAUUGAAUACUGAUUGGCACAAUGAAAUUCCAUUUGCAAAAAUGGUUCUUAGAUAAUACUACCUAUAUUGUAUAUGUGUACAAGUAUUUAUUAUUAGCACUAAGAUUAGCAGUUUUAAAUUUAGACUAUCUGGCUCUCUUUGAUUUCGGUCAUUGAGGCUUGUGUAGCUUUCUAUCUAAUUGGCUGUUAACUUUGUUAGUGAUCUUGUAUUUGUCAAUGAUAGCAUAUAUGCAAUAAUAGGGCAAGUCAUCUUAU